AAGCAAGGCGACACAAAGGUUGAAGGAUGGUAUAUUUUUUAUAGAAGAGAUAUCACAAAUUUGAGGUAACAUAGCAAAUUAGUAGCAUUCUCAAGAGAAGGAAAUAUGGUGCAUAGAGCAACCAUUGGUUUGGUCUUAAUCCUCGUUUGGAUCGCCAUUCUCUUCCAUUUGUUUGAACAAUCAUUGGCGGCUCGCAAUCACGUCCGUUUUCUUGCCUUAUCUCCCUCUCCCAGCCAAGUACCUGUACCAGCCUCCCCUCAAAGUCCACAUUUUGCUUGACGAGAUGCAUUGCAAGAUCGGAGAAAGGAGCCGUUACCUUUCUCAUUUGCCAUCGAUUUUUCAGGAAGAUGAUCAAAAGGUUGUAAUUUUUAUUUUUCGACACUUCUAAGGUAUUUAGCAGACCUGGAAGUUAAUAAUAUGCUAUUUCGUCUCUA